CAGUCGCCGCGGGAAUACGUAGGUGGCAAGCGUUGUCCGGAAUUAUUGGGCGUAAAGGGUGCGUAGGCGGACUGAUAAGUCAGGGGUGAAAUCCCAAGGCUCAACCUUGGAACUGCCUUUGAUACUGUUAGUCUUGAGUUCGAGAGAGGUGGGUGGAACUGCGAGUGUAGAGGUGAAAUUCGUAGAUAUUCGCAAGAACACCAGUGGCGAAGGCGACUCUCUGGUCUGUAACUGACGCUGAGGAGCGAAAGCGUGGGGAGCGAACAGGAUUAGAUACCCCUGUAGUCCCUGUCUCUUAUAC
rnacentral:rRNA from 1 species